rnacentral:rRNA from 1 species
CCUACGGGAGGCUGCAGUAGGGAAUCUUCCACAAUGGGCGAAAGCCUGAUGGAGCAACGCCGCGUGGGUGAAGAAGGUCUUCGGAUCGUAAAACCCUGUUGUUAGAGAAGAAAGUGCGUGAGAGUAACUGUUCACGUUUCGACGGUAUCUAACCAGAAAGCCACGGCUAACUACGUGCCAGCAGCCGCGGUAAUACGUAGGUGGCAAGCGUUAUCCGGAUUUAUUGGGCGUAAAGGGAACGCAGGCGGUCUUUUAAGUCUGAUGUGAAAGCCUUCGGCUUAACCGGAGUAGUGCAUUGGAAACUGGGGGACGUGAGUGCAGACGAGGAGAGUGGAACUCCAUGUGUAGCGGUGAAAUGCGUAGAUAUAUGGAAGAACACCAGUGGCGAAAGCGGCUCUCUGGUCUGUAACUGACGCUGAGGUUCGAAAGCGUGGGUAGCAAACAGGAUUAGAUACCCUAGUAGUC